UCUCUCUUCCGGAUAAUAGUUUUUUAAACGUGUUUUGUAGGAUAUAAUCAAAGAGUUUCUAAACCCAGACGCGUAACAUCGCAAGCAUACCAGACCUGGAUUUUAGAAGUCAAUGAGAGAAGUAAAAAGUUAUUCCUUAGUUGUUAAUUUUCUCGAAAUCCAAAGGCAUAACCUAUAUUCGAGCCAAGUAGUUGAACAUAUUAUUACUCCAAACUCGGGAAAGUGACAAACUGACGAGUUUUCAUUUUGCUCCCUUUGGAAACGACAGGCUGUGGUCUAUCUUGGGUUAGUUAUACCCAAUGAUGUGUUUCUGCGCAUGAGCAUAGCUAGCCAUCGUCGCCAUGACAUCGCCUACAAGUCUUCAUACUGUACUGUCUUUGAUAUAAUAUGUAUCUCUAUAUCUAUUACUGGUACAUAACCAUUAUACCGUAGAAUAAGAAGCUCACUUGCUACAUUUUGACUACGUGAAAUGUAACGUUACAGGCUGAGCAGAAUAAUACGGAUUUAUCGACUUUCAUUCCGGUCAAAAUGUCUAAACUACAGUUGCUGAACGUGUAUGUUACCGAACGACUAACAGCGGCAGUUGCAGAGAUAUCCGUGGCGGUCGACAGAACGGUAGUAGAGUUGUAUGAAGAAAUCUCCCGUUCUAAGGAGGAGAAUAACCGUCUGCGAAGGCUGUUGGAUUUGGUUUUCAACCCGGAGAUAAAGUUACACAAAGCAGAAGACAGAUGGAAGACAUAGUCGGUCACCUGUGCAAAUUAGCUAUCUAGCGUGGGCCGAACACCUGUAUGUAUACAUAACUGGGGAGGAAGUGUCGUUCGACAACUGGGGGCACACACGGCAUAUAGAUCUGUGCAGUAAGUGUAUAAUUAUUUAUUUGAGAGAUUAUUUAUUGCAGAUCAGGGGCAUUAUCUUAUGUUUCGAAUGUAAGAUCCAACUAACUUGGUCAUCCGUUAGUGAUGGGGGGAAAAGGAGAUUUAGUUACAUAUCAGGAGAUUGUUUUCUUAUAUAUCGCAUCGUUUUGAAAAUUUAGCAAUGUAUAUCUUUUUUUUGCUAGUUCACCAAAACUCCAUAUCCUUUUCUCCACUUUCUUUUUAAAAAGGGAGACAAUUUGUUUUCAGCACAUUUAUUUCCAUGACUGAUCAAAACUUGUUUUCCCUCUCUUGUCCCUCAGGAAGCCGGUCUGACCCCAGUGCAGCUGUAUAGCAAGUGUAGGGUCGGAACCUAUUCAGGCUACCUCUGUAUUAGCUCAACUUAAAGGAAUCAAACUGAUAUCAAGUUAAUACAAGAAUUGAGCUUCUAUUGUAAUAUUGACUCUAUAAAGAUGUUCUAAUCAAUAACAUGGAAGUGAUCAAUAGCUAAGUAGCAUUUUUAACAUUCAAUUCUAAGUAACUUUAUAUUUCUCCAUCAGAUGCCCAGCAGCUCACUCACCUCAUAUCUGAAGAGGUUCCCCCUGAACAGCAGCACUGUGAGCAGGAGUGGAGCCCCAGUCUGGUUCAGGAGGACCCAGUGCCCACACAGAUUAAAGAGGAACAGGAGGAACUACAGACCAGUCAAGAGGAAGAGCAGCUUCAAGGGCCCUUUGAUACCAAAGACUCCAUAUUCACUUCUCCCUGUGUGGAAAGUGACUGUGAUCAGGAGAACCCAUCUCAGCCCUCACAUCUUUACCAAACCCAAACUGUGGAGGACAGAGAGAGGGGUUCUCUACUCACCAACACAUCUAUAGAGAUCAAAACAGAACCUGAUGGAGAGGAUUACAGAGUAUCAGAACCAGCCAGUGACUCUCAGCCCCUCUCUGCAGUAAAUCCAGACUGUUCUGCAGCUCAGAGUGAAAACAUGGAAAGUGAUGAUGAGGUGGAGAGUGGAGGACUACAAUCAGGGUCUAAGACACUCGAAUCAAAAAGAAAACAGAUUGAGAAUGGAGAAAGGUUCCAUACCAGUGCUGGAGGCAGGACGGCCACUAUGUUGCCCCGUUUGACAUCUUCUAGUCAAACGUAUGCUGCUCCUUAUUGUUGCAAGGUUGCCACAGGCCUGAACCAAGCUAAUACAAGAGGACGUCCAGCUGCUGACGCCAUACACCCUCCAAAGCCACCCAAAGUGGUCCGUACUGGAGUUACCGAUGAUGUCCGCACGGAUCAAAUUGAACACUGGCCAGUGAAAUGUGAGACGCGGGGUCGCUGCAAAGUCUGCCAGAAAAAUGUAACGAAUACCCUCUGUCAGAAAUGUGAUGUAAGACUGUGUUUCACUUUUGAGAGGAAUUGCUACAAGUUGUACCACAUGCCUUAGUGCAACAUGUUUACAAUGCAGAGAUAAUUACACACUCACAAGAUGAACAACUUGUUCAAUAUAUAUGAUGCUUCUUUUAGAACUUGGAUUUCAAAAGUGAUGAGUCAGGCUUCAUGAUGAACGUUUAUAUUUCAAUGGUUUUAUGACAUUGUAUUGCUAUUGUUGUAUUUAAAUGCAAUGUUACACAUUGAUACACACACACACUCUCUUCUGUCUUUAUCAGAGUCUAAUAUGUUAUGAAUUAUUAUUGAGAUUUUGUGUAUUUCUGAAGAUUUUUGCCAUUUCUUUUGCAAUUCAGGACUUAACUCAGGGUUAUACUUGGUUCACAUUGAAAUAAAGCUGUAAGAUUUGAUAAACUGA